AGAUGGAUCAUUCACAAAACCGUAGUACGUAAUGUGAUAUACAAGCUGGUUAUGAACGAAAAGAUGUGAUUAUACUUAGUACCGGUGUGUAUGCGGUCAUGUUUACAUGUGUAUUCAUGUACAUGAGCGACUACAUGUAUUGGAAACAGUAUACCACGCUCAAACACAUGCAGGAACAUGUAUGUGUGCAUACGUACGUGCAUGAGUGGAUUCAUGUGCAUGUGUUUGGGCGUAUGUGUUAAGUUCGAAUAAAGAGACCUUGGUUUGAACAUCACAAAAAAUACGUUGAACAACAUUAUAAUAACUUUUAGUGAUGGAUGUCUUGGAUCUCGUAACGAUGAAGGACGCAGCUAACUGCGAUACGCAGUGUGACUCGCAAACUUCUAAGAAUCAUCAGAUUUUUGAACGCGAAAGGUACUCUUAAGUUUUUCUUGAGAGUAUGUUCAAUUCAGUGCCUGCCAUAUUUGUUGUUUUCAGAAGACAACGCGCUUAGUAACUGCCUACUAACGGUUACUCAACUUGCAUGAGUCGCCUUUUCUGUAAACACACUAGAAGACGGCAAACUGUAAAAUGCAAAGCCUGAAUUUGAGCAAGGUUACCUGCUGAACUUAAGCAUAUUAUUAAGCAGAGGAAAAGAAACUAAUUAGGAUUUCCUUAGUAACGGCGAGUGAACAGGAAAAAGCUCAACCUGUUAAUCUACAGCUUGCUGUUGAAUUGUAGUCUCAUGAAGUGCAACCUAUGGAUGCUUUGGACUAAGUCUCUUGGAAAAGAGUACCGAAGAGGGUGAAAGUCCCGUCUUUGUCCAGAAACAUUUAGUUCAGGGUGCACGUUCACAGAGUCGCGUUCCUUGAGAUUGGAGCGCAAAGUGGGUGAUAAAUUUCAUCUAAGGCUAAAUAUUAACGAGAUUCCGAUAGCAUACAAGUACCGUGAGGGAAAGAUGAAAAGGACUUUGGGAAGAGAGUUAAAAGGAACUGAAAUCACUAAAAGGGAA
rnacentral:misc_RNA from 1 species